UAUCAGCAGGCACAAAAGAGUAGAAGUCAGCCUCGUCUAUCUCCGGUUCCUGGAGCAAGUAGCAGUCAUGUAGUGCCAACAGAUAUGGAGAACCAUCAAGGAAGCAGUAGUGCUCCCUAUUCCUCUGACAUCAUGCGAUCUAAUGGUCCUGGUGUACACAUGCAAUUCAAAUCAGCAGUUGGCAAGAAUUUGAGCUCUGAUAAUCAUGGUUAUAAGAGUAUUUUAACCGAUGCACAUAUUCCCUCCACUUCUUUUUGAGGUACCAGCAAGUGAAAAU
rnacentral:misc_RNA from 1 species